rnacentral:rRNA from 1 species
AGGACGAACGCUGGCGGCGUGCCUAACACAUGCAAGUCGAGCGGAAAGGCCCCUUCGGGGGUACUCGAGCGGCGAACGGGUGAGUAACACGUGAGCAACCUGCCCUUAGCUCUGGGAUAGCUCCGGGAAACCGGAAUUAAUACCGGAUACGACCUAGGCCGACAUCGGCCGUGGUGGAAAGUUUUUCGGCUAGGGAUGGACUCGCGGCCUAUCAGCUAGUUGGUGGGGUAAAGGCCUACCAAGGCGACGACGGGUAGCCGGCCUGAGAGGGCGACCGGCCACACUGGGACUGAGACACGGCCCAGACUCCUACGGGAGGCAGCAGUGGGGAAUCUUGCGCAAUGGGCGAAAGCCUGACGCAGCGACGCCGCGUGGGGGAUGAAGGCCUUCGGGUUGUAAACCCCUUUCAGCAGGGACGAAGCGAAGUGACGGUACCUGCAGAAGAAGCGCCGGCUAACUACGUGCCAGCAGCCGC